CUCAACAUAUAAGCCAAGAGAGUGCCAGGCCUUUAAAUAAGAAACACUGGAUGUUUUCUGCAACUUAAAUACAAGGUAUCAGAGCCAGGAGGGUGGCUGACUCUGAUGAUAGAACAAGAGCCAAAUAUGCUCCUGAUGCUCCAGUAGAGUGGUCUUCAGGUGAUCGAGAUUCCGAGCUCCCAAACCAAGGCAAGAAUAAGGAAACUGGAACAGGAGGGCAUGCUGGGCUCCAGCCUCCCGUGACAGUGAAACAUUGCCUUAGAAUGACUGUUGUUAAUACAAUUGAGGAAAUAUAACACGUAAUCUUGUGAUUAAGUUAUACACAAUUUGAUUUAAAUUUAGUUCCUGGCAGUUGCUAGGUUUCACUCUGGCAUACUCUCUCAGUGUGGAAGCUGCUGAUUCAGAAAGAGAUGUUCCAAAGCUCAUGUAUUUCCUGGACACAUCCAAGUACUGAAUAAAAUGCUGGUUAAAUAAAUGAGUUAAUUUUCCAAGAAAGACA
ensembl:lncRNA GRIK1-AS1 GRIK1 antisense RNA 1